rnacentral:lncRNA from 1 species
GAGAGAGAGAGAGGUGGCUUAGAGGUGGAACAGUGGCAGAGGGUAGGCUAGUGCGGAGCAGCAUAAACGAUAAAUCCAUGCUUUGGGACAUGAGACUUAUCCAGCGGAUGGGAACAGUGCCUUCAUCCUUGCAAAAGACGGGAAGGUGUAAGAACAAGAACGUAAUAAAUGCAUGAUGGAAGAGAGAGAUCAAUGGAACCGGACAUCUGACAAUCUUACAGAGGUAAUCUGCCCGCCCCGCCCCCCCGGCGGAGAGUGGCGCGAUCUUCUGUGCUGCGCUUGCAUUUUUUGUCAUGCCAAGAACCAUCGCGUCGUACGACGGGAAGCCUUCCCUUUUUUGUUUCUUGCGUUGCCAACUCAUGAGCGACCAGCCUUCCCUCAUGGAUCCAUUACGUUCCGAGACAAGACUGGACCGGCAGCUCUGCUGCCAGUUAAUGGCAAAAGCUACCCGCCUCCUCGCUUACCUCAAGCAUGUAAAACCCCUCCCGAUACGAGCUACUGAGCUACAGAUCUGCCAAAGAUAUUGGACUCACUCAAAUCUAUCUACACGGGGGGAUAAGAGAUACUAACUUUACUCAUGGUCGUCGUCGCCGUAGCAGUAAUCGUAGUAACAGUGAAUAAAGAGACACCUUAACUCCUCUUCGUCGUCGUCGUCGUAGUAAUUGUAGAAACUGUAGAAAGCAGUAACAGUUGGGGUCCGGCACUGUGUGCCCCGAUACGAACGGGAACUUUCACUGUGAGAGCAAGUGGCAUCAUUGGAGAGAGAUGAGAAGGCAGGGGAAAAGAGAAAACAGAAGGCGCGGUUGCCAAGGGGGGUGGUGGCACACUGUGGGUGGAAAUGGCCAUGCCUGGCAAUGGCAAUGGCGGGACCUGUACUGCAGAUACAGUCAUGGGCCCUGAGAAGAGAGACAGAGAGAGAGAGAGGCGCGGUGGAAAGAUUUGCGUUUUAGUGCGCGCUUCGCGGCACAAGGAGACGAAUCGAUGGAGACUGGACCUCUUCCUCCACCACCUCGUCUCUUCCUCUCUCUGGCGCUUCGUCUUUGGUGUCAGCGACUGGUUACGUCGCUCUCCUCUUCCUCGCCGAUCCAAUUACCCUUCUCUUCCUCUCUCUCUCCCUUCCUUGGCUUCGGGGUUCGUGUCUCAUCUUCCUCCACUGCCCCUGCCAUCCACCCUGUUUGGCAGUGCGACUUCUCUGUGGGACCGCUUUGUCUGCUUGUGGGCAUCACCA